GAGUUUGAUCCUGGCUCAGGACGAACGCUGGCGGCGUGCUUAACACAUGCAAGUCGAACGGAGCGAAAUGGAAGCUUGCUUCUAUGGAGCUUAGUGGCGAACGGGUGAGUAACGCGUAAUCAACCUGCCCUUCAGAGGGGGACAACAGUUGGAAACGACUGCUAAUACCGCAUACGAUUCAACUUCGGCAUCGAGGAUGAAUGAAAGGUGGCCUCUAUUUAUAAGCUAUCGCUGAAGGAGGGGAUUGCGUCUGAUUAGCUAGUUGGAGGGGUAACGGCCCACCAAGGCGAUGAUCAGUAGCCGGUCUGAGAGGAUGAACGGCCACAUUGGGACUGAGACACGGCCCAGACUCCUACGGGAGGCAGCAGAGGGGAAUCUUCCGCAAUGGACGAAAGUCUGACGGAGCAACGCCGCGUGAGUGAUGACGGCCUUCGGGUUGUAAAGCUCUGUUAAUCGGGACGAAAGGUCCUCUUGUGAAUAAUUAGAGGAAUUGACGGUACCGGAAUAGAAAGCCACGGCUAACUACGUGCCAGCAGCCGCGGUAAUACGUAGGUGGCAAGCGUUGUCCGGAAUUAUUGGGCGUAAAGCGCGCGCAGGCGGAUUAGUCAGUCUGUCUUAAAAGUUCGGGGCUUAACCCCGUGAUGGGAUGGAAACUGCUAAUCUAGAGUAUCGGAGAGGAAAGUGGAAUUCCUAGUGUAGCGGUGAAAUGCGUAGA
rnacentral:rRNA from 1 species